GACGUAGGGUGCGAGCGUUGUCCGGAUUUAUUGGGCGUAAAGAGCUCGUAGGCGGCUCGUCGCGUCGACCGUGAAAACCCGCGGCUCAACUGCGGGCUUGCGGUUGAUACGGGCGGGCUAGAGUUCGGUAGGGGAGACUGGAAUUCCUGGUGUAGCGGUGAAAUGCGCAGAUAUCAGGAGGAACACCGGUGGCGAAGGCGGGUCUCUGGGCCGAUACUGACGCUGAGGAGCGAAAGCGUGGGGAGCGAACAGG
rnacentral:rRNA from 1 species